rnacentral:rRNA from 1 species
CCUACGGGAGGCAGCAGUGGGGAAUAUUGCACAAUGGGGGAAACCCUGAUGCAGCGACGCCGCGUGAGUGAAGAAGUAUUUCGGUAUGUAAAGCUCUAUCAGCAGGGAAGAAAAUGACGGUACCUGAGUAAGAAGCCCCGGCGAACUACGUGCCAGCAGCCGCGGUAAUACGUAGGGGGCAAGCGUUAUCCGGAUUUACUGGGUGUAAAGGGAGCGUAGACGGUGAUGCAAGUCAGAAGUGAAAGCCCGGGGCUCCACUCCGGGACUGCUUUUGAAACUGUGUGACUGGAGUGCAGGAGAGGUAAGCGGCAUUCCUGGUGUAGCGGUGACAUGCGUAGAUAUCAGGAGGAACACCAGUGGCGACGGCGGCUUACUGGACUGUACCUGACGUUGCGGCUCGAAAGCGUGGGGAGCAAACAGGAUUAGAUACCCGAGUCGUC